CUUCACCGAGCCCAGCCGCAGCGGGGUGGCGCGGUCCUGGCCGUAGGUGGCCAGCAGCGCCUGGGCCUC
rnacentral:antisense_RNA from 1 species